GCCUGGCUAGCUCAGUUGGUAAAGCAUCAGACUUUUAAUCUGAGGGUUCAAGUCCCUGGUCAGGUA
rnacentral:tRNA from 1 species